GGUUCGCAUGACGGAUAGCAGUGGAAAUCCUUUUUUAAUUUUUCUUCAAAGAUUGUAACGGAUAGCCUGACCCUUU
rnacentral:sRNA from 2 species